rnacentral:rRNA from 1 species
UGCAAGUUCGAACGAGNAAAGUGGAGCAAUCCAUGAGUAAAGUGGCGUACGGGUGAGUAACACGUGGGUAAUCUACCUUUUGGUGGGGAAUAACCCUGGGAAACCGGGGCUAAUACCGCAUAAGCUCGAAAGAGGAAAAGAGAAAUUUGCCGAAAGAGGAGCCCGCGGCUGAUUAGCUAGUUGGUGAGGUAAAGGCUCACCAAGGCGAAGAUCGGUAGCCGGCCUGAGAGGGCACACGGCCACACUGGCACUGAAACACGGGCCAGACUCCUACGGGAGGCAGCAGUGGGGAAUCUUGCACAAUGGGGGAAACCCUGAUGCAGCGACGCCGCGUGAGCGAUGAAGCCCUUCGGGGUGUAAAGCUCUUUCGGCCCGAACGAUAAUGACGGUACGGGAAGAAGAAGCUGCGGCUAACUACGUGCCAGCAGCCGCGGUAAUACGUAGGCAGCGAGCGUUGUUCGGAGUUACUGGGCGUAAAGCGUGCGUAGGCGGUUUUGUAAGUUUGGUGUGAAAUCUCCCGGCUCAACUGGGAGGGUGCGCCGAAAACUGCAAGGCUGGAGUGUGGGAGAGGUAGGCGGAA